rnacentral:rRNA from 1 species
AUGCUUGCACAUGGCCGUUGCAUUCAUUGCGACAAACUCUUCCCUGCCUCAAAAAAGUCAGGUACAAGUCACAUCGGUAAACAUUUGGUGGUAUGUGAAGAGAAAGCUAAAAUGGAUGGUAUGGUUGCCAAGAUACGAACUGAUAGUGCAAUUGAUCCAAAGUGGAAGUUUGACCAAGGGCGUGCACGUAGAGCACUGGCAAAGUUGAUUGUGCUACAUGAAUUACCUUCCAAUUUUUUUGAAUAUCCUAGCUUUAGGUCGUUUGUUAAGACGUUGAAUCCAUGGUUCAACGUGGUAUGCAGAGAAACAAUUAAACAAGAUUGCAUUGAUGCAUAUGAUAGACACAAAAAAGAAAUUCAAGCACUUUUUAGCAAUCUAAGUUCUCGAGUAUCAUUAACGGGUGACAUGUGGACGUCCAAUCAGAAGCUAGGUUAUUUAUGCAUAACUGCCCACUUUAUUGAUGGCUCAUGGACUCUACAAAACAGAAUAAUCACAUUUUGCCUCUUAGAAACUCCACACAACUCCCAUAACAUGUUUGACAUGGUGCAAAAGAGCUUGAGAGAUUGGAACAUUGAAGACAAAAUCUUUAGCUUUACCUUGGACAAUGCACCAGUUAAUACCUUGAUGGUUGGCCACUUGAGAAAAAAUCUGGCAGAUAGGUAUCUUGUGCAUCAUAGUGGAAAAUUAUUGCAUGUUAGAUGUGCUGCACAUGUACUGAAUCUCGUGGUGCAAGAUGGGCUCGAUGCAAUGGCGUCAGUUGUUGAUAGAAUCAGAGAUUCAGUGCAGUAUGUCAGGAGUUCGCAAGACAGAAUGGAGAAAUUCAAUGCGAUGAUUGCGCGGGUGGGACUUGCUUGUAAAAACCAUCCUUCGCCAGAUGUGCCUACCCGAUGGAAUUCAACGUACCUAAUGCUUGAAUCAUCAUUGCCGUUUAGAGCAGCGUUCGAAGCCUUGAAAGAAACUGACAAAGAUUAUAAAUUUGCUCCUUCAGCUAGUGAAUGGGAGAUGGCUGAUGCUAUUUACCAUCUUUUGGGCGCUUUUUACACAGCCACAAAGAAAAUCUCGGGUAGGACAUAUCCCACCUCUCACCUGUACUUCUACGAGGUCUGGAAUGUGAAGCAGAUAAUGGAGAAAGAAGUCACAAGUGAAAAUCCUACCAUUGUUGCCAUGGUGAAAGAGAUGGAGGAGAAAUGGAUGAAAUAUUUUGAGGAGUCAUUCUUAACAAGUUGUCUGCCAGUGAUAUUUGAUCCGAGGUACAAAUAUGAAUAUGUUCACUUCCAACUGACCGCAGCUUUUGGUGGUGGCGCCGGGAAAUAUCUUACCAAGGUGAAUAGUGCGAUGAAGAUCCUAUUUCCUGAAUAUGCAUCUGAAUAUGAAAACACUUCUGAUGAAGGUGAUGAGGUUGCAGAGGAGGAUGGUGAGGGCACUCUCAAUGACUGGGAUAAGCAUUUGAGAUUGAAAAGAUCCCACAACUCAAAUGAGCUACAACGAUAUCUUGAAGAAGACUUGUUUCCUCGCCGACAGAAAUUGGAUAUCUUAAAGUGA